UCGAAAUUUAAUUUUUUUCGAUUUUUUUGAGUCAAAUCGAAAUUUUCUCACCCUUAACUACAUCCGCUGCCAUGCCAACCUAGUUUGACCUCUACUGUGCCAAAAUAUCCACUCUCCACUUGAGAGCCUUCUUCUGUCCAGCUCGGUGUUAGCCUUUGGAUAAGAAUAAAAUGUUAAAGAUACUGACUACUUGGAAAUAGAGAAAAAAAGUUACAUCGAUUACAUUGGAUGUCCCCAAAGUUUUUUCAUAUGAUUAUGACCCUAAUAUUAUGUUUGGUAUAUAUAGGGCACCAUUUGCAGGUAUCCAAAAAACUUGAACUCUUGACCAUGUAAUGACCGUCACCUAGCCCCCCAGUUCCACUCGAACCCGUGGCCACAUCACGGCAUCCAGCUGGGACCUCCACCUAGACUUCGACCCUUGAUCAUAUCAAGCAUUAUUACCCCGAAACCUGAUUUUCCCACGAUGAGUUUUUGAGGUGAUGGUCCUAUCCUGCCAUGACAUAUGAAAUGUAUUUGUUCUGAAGCACGUUAUCACAUCCCGGACCCCUCUAAUCUACUUAUGAACUUUUUUGGUUUCAAUAAAAAAUUUUAAUUCAUAAAUCUAAAAACCAUAACCCUAAGAAAAUUAAAAACCUGAACCUAGGAGAGGAAAGAGAAAGGAAAAGUGCGUUUAGCUGGACACGCUUUCCUGCCAACUAUACAGAAAAUGCACCCACUUUUCAUUUCUUUCUUCUAAAACCAACCUAUUUCCUUAAUUAAAAAAAAGUCCUAAAGGCUUAAUUAAAAAAAACCUUGUAAUCCCCAAUUGGUGCCCGGGGCCCAAACUUAAUACAAACCCAAAUACAACACUCAGCCCAAAUACUUUUAAACCCAAAAAAUGGCCCAAAACACAAUAAUCCACACUGGCCCAAUACCUAGCCCUAACAAUUCUCAACAGCAGAAACCUUAGGUAGUUUUCGUGCUUCAGUGCCGCAGCAACCGCUUCCACGCCCCACGUUCAUCACUCGCGCAUGUCCUCCACGACCUUUACACCUACGGAAAAACUAAUCCAAACGACAGUAGAUGUGGCAAAUAACGGGAUAGAUAGUUUUUAUGAUUAUUUUGGUACAUCUCGGCUAUAAAGAGACUGAUUUAAAUCUAUAAAAUGUGGGGGUUUAGAAAUUUUUUGGUACUGAAAUCAAAAAGAAAAUAUACAGAAAAAUAGUUUUGAAGGUAGAAUUUUGUUUUAUUUUUCUCUGUUCUUUUACUGCCUUUUUUAAGUUAUUUUGGUUCUUUUCUUUUUAUUUCUUAAAAACAAAACACGAAAAGGGUGAGGGGGAGGAGGACUUACCGUCAAGAGAUUCGUUGGGCGCUCUCGUUAGCCGUUAUCUGGUCGGAAAAGGGAGGAGAUUGGAACGGCAGAGGAGGGGUUUUGAGAGGAGUUGCGGCGCACCACAAAAGUGGCA
rnacentral:lncRNA from 1 species